rnacentral:lncRNA from 1 species
AUUUCAAUUUGUAAGUGGCAACAGAGGAAAAAGUGCCUUCCCAUUGAAGGUGCCAGGAGAAGAAAGAGAGGAAGAAUGGCAGAAUGAGGUCCAAAUCAACCACAGAAAGGUCAGAGUAAUGACAACAGGAAAAAAAAAAAAAAAAAAAAAAAAAAGAAGUAGGGGAAGUAGGAGAGUAGAGGAAUCACUUUGGGGCUAUCACAGCAGCAUCUGAAAUUUUGUCCCUUCUAUUUUUCCUGGAGGCUGUGCAGAGAGCGAGUAGGGGAAGAUGCAGCAAAUUUCUUAAAGAUGUUUGGAAUAUGAGGAUGUCAGCCAAGUCUCAGAGAACUUGUUGGGGGCUAGUGGCAGCCCUACCUGCAUUUUCUGAUAAGUUCUCUUUUAGAGGGAUUCCCUUUCUAGAGACCUAAAGAGCUUCUCGUUAAUCAGACACUGCUUCUGGGGACAGCUGGAAAACAGAAGAAAAAGGAGGCCCAUCCACUUAGUGUUCCUCAGUAUGAUCUCAAGACUAAACAACUUGCACAGACUUACAAGGGGAGGCCAGUGUUACAAGUGUCAGCAGUGCACAUGCUCACAAUGUUUCAAGAAUGAAAAACUAAUACAACAGAAAAAUCAGACUCAAAAGAUUUGUAUUC